AUGUUUUUCGAGAACCUUUUAUCUUGUGAUCCACUAGACACCCAUUCUUUUCUUCAACUGCCACGCGAAACAUCCAAGUAUGAGAAGGCUGCAAACGCCCGUCACGGCAAGCCUCCAUUCGAACUCCAUUUGAAUGCACGUGGCAUUUUCAGUCAAGGUUUUGGGACUCGUUGGGACCGUUUGCUCAAGGUGCACAUGACACGUUGCGGGAUCACCAUGAGGGCUUUACUCGAGUCAGCACUACCCUUCGAGCAAGAUAUCCCAAGUCCAGAAAUGUGGGUAUCCUUUUUUAUUUUUUGA
rnacentral:rRNA from 1 species